rnacentral:piRNA from 1 species
UGAAAAGGCUAUUUAUUAAAGUACCUGUU